AAUGAACGCUGGCGGCGCGCCUAAUACAUGCAAGUCGAGCGAGAAGACGUAGCAAUACGUUUGUAAAGCGGCGAACGGGUGAGGAAUACAUGGGUAACCUACCCUCGAGUGGGGAAUAACUAGCCGAAAGGUUAGCUAAUACCGCGUACGCUUCUUGGACUUCGGUUCAGGGAGGAAAGCGAUGCCGAGGGUAUCGCGCUCUUGGAUGGGCUCAUGUCCUAUCAGCUUGUUGGGAGGUAACGGCUCACCAAGGCUUCGACGGGUAGCUGGUCUGAGAGGACGAUCAGCCACACUGGCACUGCGACACGGGCCAGACUCCUACGGGAGGCAGCAGUAAGGAAUAUUGCGCAAUGGGCGAAAGCCUGACGCAGCGACGCCGCGUGGGGGAUGAAGGUCUUCGGAUUGUAAACCCCUUUCGGGAGGGAAGAUGGAACGAGCAAUCGUUCGGACGGUACCUCCA
rnacentral:rRNA from 1 species